rnacentral:rRNA from 1 species
AAAACAAUUUCCGGCAACGAAAUUUUCGGUUUUCCAUUCAUUAAAAAAGGAACCAAAUGGGAAAAUUUGGGGGGAAUUGCAAAAUCCCGGGAACCUUCAGGCUUUUAAACCCAAUUUGGCCCCCAAGCCUUUAGGCCAAGGGACCCCCGGCCGGGGGGCCCCCC